rnacentral:rRNA from 1 species
AAAACUUUCAGCAACGGAUCUCUUGGUUCUCGCAUCGAUGAAGAACGCAGCGAAAUGCGAAAAGUARUGUGAAUUGCAGAAUUCAGUGAAUCAUCGAAUCUUUGAACGCACAUUGCGCCUCGCGGUAUUCUGCGAGGCAUGCCUGUUCGAGCGUCAU